rnacentral:rRNA from 1 species
UACGUAGGGUGCGAGCGUUAAUCGGAAUUACUGGGCGUAAAGCGUGCGCAGGCGGUUCGUUAAGUUCGAUGUGAAAGCCCCGGGCUCAACCUGGGAACUGCAUUGGAAACUGGCGAGCUUGAAUGCGGCAGAGGGGGGCGGAAUUCCGCGUGUAGCAGUGAAAUGCGUAGAGAUGCGGAGGAACACCGAUGGCGAAGGCAGCCCCCUGGGCCGACAUUGACGCUCAGGCACGAAAGCGUGGGGAGCAAACAGG